CUCAUUAGCAUCUCCAUCUUGAUCAAGAUUUAUUGAUCUUGAUGAUCAAGAUGGACAUGCUAAUGAACA